rnacentral:rRNA from 1 species
GACGAACGCUGGCGGCGUGCUUAACACAUGCAAGUCGAACGGAAAGGCCCUGCUUUUGUGGGGUGCUCGAGUGGCGAACGGGUGAGUAACACGUGAGUAACCUGCCCUUGACUUUGGGAUAACUUCAGGAAACUGGGGCUAAUACCGGAUAGGAGCUCCUGCUGCAUGGUGUGGGUUGGAAAGUUUCGGCGGUUGGGGAUGGACUCGCGGCUUAUCAGCUUGUUGGUGGGGUAGUGGCUUACCAAGGCUUUGACGGGUAGCCGGCCUGAGAGGGUGAACGGCCACAUUGGGACUGAGAUACGGCCCAGACUCCUACGGGAGGCAGCAGUGGGGAAUAUUGCACAAUGGGCGGAAGCCUGAUGCAGCAACGCCGCGUGCGGGAUGACGGCCUUCGGGUUGUAAACCGCUUUCGCCUGUGACGAAGCGUGAGUGACGGUAAUGGGUAAAGAAGCACCGGCUAACUACGUG